GACGAACGCUGGCGGCGCGCCUAACACAUGCAAGUCGAACGAGCGAGAGAGAGCUUGCUUUCUCGAGCGAGUGGCGAACGGGUGAGUAACGCGUGAGGAACCUGCCUCAAAGAGGGGGACAACAGUUGGAAACGACUGCUAAUACCGCAUAAGCCCACGGCUCGGCAUCGAGCAGAGGGAAAAGGAGCAAUCCGCUUUGAGAUGGCCUCGCGUCCGAUUAGCUAGUUGGUGAGGUAACGGCCCACCAAGGCAACGAUCGGUAGCCGGACUGAGAGGUUGAACGGCCACAUUGGGACUGAGACACGGCCCAGACUCCUACGGGAGGCAGCAGUGGGGAAUAUUGCACAAUGGGGGAAACCCUGAUGCAGCGACGCCGCGUGGAGGAAGAAGGUCUUCGGAUUGUAAACUCCUGUUGU
rnacentral:rRNA from 1 species